rnacentral:rRNA from 1 species
AUUGAACGCUGGCGGCAGGCCUAACACAUGCAAGUCGAACGGUAACAGGAAGAAGCCUGCUUCUUUGCUGGCGAGUGGCGGAUGGGUGAGUAAUGUCUGGGAAACUGCCUGAUGGAGGGGGAUAACUACUGGAAACGGUAGCUAAUACCGCAUAACGUCGCAAGACCAAAGAGGGGGACCUUCUGGCCUCUUGCCAUCGGAUGUGCCCAGAUGGGGUUAGCUAGUAGGGGGGGUAACGGCCCACCUAGGGGACGGUCGCUAGCUGGUCUGAGAGGAUGAGCGGCCACACUGGAACUGAAACACGGUCCAGACUCCUACGGGAGGCAGCAGUGGGCAAUAUUGGACAAUGGGCGCAAGCCUGAUGCAGCCAUGCCGCGUGUAUGAAGAAGGCCUUCGGGUUGUAAAGUACUUUCGGCGGGGAGGAAGGGAGUAAAGUUAAUACCUUUGCUCAUUGACGUUACCCGCAGAAGAAGCACCGGCUAACUCCGUG